rnacentral:rRNA from 1 species
GCAUAUCAAUAAGCGGAGGAAAAGAAACCAACAGGGAUUGCCCUAGUAACGGCGAGUGAAGCGGCAACAGCUCAAAUUUGAAAUCUGGCUCUCGGGCCCGAGUUGUAAUUUGUAGAGGAUGUUUUUGAUGCGGUGCCUUCCGAGUUCCCUGGAACGGGACGCCAUAGAGGGUGAGAGCCCCGUCUGGUUGGAUGCCAAAUCUCUGUAAAACUCCUUCAACGAGUCGAGUAGUUUGGGAAUGCUGCUCUAAAUGGGAGGUAUAUGUCUUCUAAAGCUAAAUACCGGCCAGAGACCGAUAGCGCACAAGUAGAGUGAUCGAAAGAUGAAAAGCACUUUGAAAAGAGAGUUAAAAAGUACGUGAAAUUGUUGAAAGGGAAGCGUUUAUGACCAGACUUGGACUUGGAUAAUCAUCUGGGGUUCUCCCCAGUGCACUUGCCCAUUCCAGGCCAGCAUCAGUUUUCCCCGGGGGAUAAAGACUUUGGGAAUGUGGCUCCCUUCGGGGAGUGUUAUAGCCCAUUGUGUAAUACCCUGGGGGGGACUGAGGUUCGCGCAUCUGCAAGGAUGCUGGCGUAAUGGUCAUCAAUGACCCGUCUUGAAACACGGACCAAGGAGUCGUCUUCGUAUGCGAGUGUUCGGGUGUCAAACCCCUACGCGUAAUGAAAGUGAACGCAGGUGAGAGCUUCGGCGCAUCAUCGACCGAUCCUGAUGUUCUCGGAUGGAUUUGAGUAAGAGCAUACGGGGCCGGACCCGAAAGAAGGUGAACUAUGCCUGUAUAGGGUGAAGCCAGAGGAAACUCUGGUGGAGGCUCGCAGCGGUUCUGACGUGCAAAUCGAUCGUCAAAUAUGGGCAUGGGGGCGAAAGACUAAUCGAACCUUCUAGUAGCUGGUUUCCGCCGAA